UACGUAGGGUGCAAGCGUUAAUCGGAAUUACUGGGCGUAAAGCGUGCGCAGGCGGUUUUGUAAGUCUGACGUGAAAUCCCCGGCUCAACCUGGGAAUUGCGUUGGAGACUGCAAGGCUAGAAUCUGGCAGAGGGGGGUAGAAUUCCACGUGUAGCAGUGAAAUGCGUAGAGAUGUGGAGGAACACCGAUGGCGAAGGCAGCCCCCUGGGUCAAGAUUGACGCUCAUGCAC
rnacentral:rRNA from 1 species